CAUGGCUCAGGACGAACGCUGGCGGCGUGCUUAACACAUGCAAGUCGAACGGGAACCUUUAUUUCGGUAAAGGUGAGAGUGGCAAACGGGUGAGUAACACGUAGGCAACCUGCCGACAGGAUGGGGACAACAUUCCGAAAGGAAUGCUAAUACCGAAUGGAGUCCGAGGAUGGCAUCAUCCUUGGAUAAAAGAUGGCCUCUGAAUAUGCUAUCGCCUGUCGAUGGGCCUGCGUCUGAUUAGCCAGUUGGCGGGGUAACGGCCCACCAAAGCGACGAUCAGUAGCCGGUCUGAGAGGAUGAACGGCCACAUUGGGACUGAGACACGGCCCAGACUCCUACGG
rnacentral:rRNA from 1 species